GACAGCCAGGAAACCGAGAACGGAAUGCCAAUACUGCUUAGGCUUAGAGUUUGAAAGGCAUCUGAUUUCACUGCCAUGUCUUUGAACAGCAGUGCACAGUGCAGUCUUCUUCGUGGCUGAACAGAGCUAAGGUCUUGCUAUGUUGCCUAGACUGGUUUUGAACUCCUGGGCUGAAGCAAUCCUCCCACUUCGGCCUCUCAAAGUGCUGGGAUAUCAGACAUGAGCCACCUGCCAUGCUUGGCCUAUGCUAGUCAAGUGGAGCAGUGGGAGUGAAGAUGGAAUAAAGAAAUCCAUAACUGGUUGUGAUUAAGUAGUUGUAAACACCAACUGCACUCAGACCAACCCAUAUAUAUAUUUUUAAUUGUAAGCAUAGUAUAUAUAAAACUUCAAUUCCUGCUUUUUUUUACCUAACAUUAUAUCAUAUGCAUUUUCCAUACUGUUUCACAAUUCCUUGUAUUCGUAAUUGUUUAAUCCUGCAAAAUAAUGCUUCGAAUGAACAUAUGAUCAUUUCCUUAAGUAUUCCCCUACUAUUAGAAGUGAAGUUUCUUCCAGCAUUUUUCUCUUUGCUGUGAUGAAUAUUUUUAAGUAUAGAGAUUUUUCAGUUUGGUUAUGAGUUUUUGAAAAUCUACUUUACCAAAAACAAAGAAAACCCAUGUCUUUCUUUAGUACCUUUGCCAAGAUAUUACUUUUACUUGACAUUCAACAAGUAUAGGAUGAAAGUACACAAGUCUGCAAGGGACCUUGGAAGUAACUUGUUUCUGUCUAAUUUCUAUAAAAUUUCCAGGAGAUAGUCAUACAGCUUUAAUUUGAUCGCAUCCACUAGUUUUGGCAUUGGUAUUGCCAUAUUGAUUAUGGACACAUAAAACUGUAACUCCUGGAGCCAACCUCUCAGGCUUUCCUACAUGAAACCAAUGCCACCAUCCCACCCGCACUCUAGCACCUUCUAUCCACUGAUUUUAGUCAUUGACUUGCUCUCUUCCUCUUUCUGUUUGUUGUCUUCCAGUUUGUCUCUUUCAUUCCUCCCCUCCCUUCUCUAUCCUGCUCUCUGACCCAAGAGGCUGACCUGUAUGAACCACAUCAGUGAUUGGCUGGUGGGGCCCCCCAGCAAAGAGGAUGGAGUGAAGUGAGGGUAUUUACUUGCUUAAUUGCCUCCAGGCUGGGUCACUCACAGCUGGCCAUGUCCUUCCAUCAAAGAUCAGAGCUCUCCUCAAGGUAGCCCUCUCCACAAACUUUCUUGAGUUUCUCUUUCUGGGUUUUGUUAACCAUUUUCUCAACUUGUCCCUUCAUGCCUAGAGGUAAUAGCAGGUGGGGAAUGCUGUGCUAUUCCAUUUGGUUUUCCUGCACCCUUCCCAUGUUUGUAUGUAGUCCCUUUCAUCAAAGUACUGGGACUGUCCUAAUUCGAAUGUGCCAUCUUUUUUGUUUCCUGCUAAGAACUGUUCAACUCACUCUGGAUACACUCAAUAAAUAUAACUCAGACUGUCACAAUA
rnacentral:lncRNA from 1 species